GAUGAACGCUGGCGGCGUGCCUAAUACAUGCAAGUCGAGCGAACAGACGAGGAGCUUGCUCCUCUGACGUUAGCGGCGGACGGGUGAGUAACACGUGGAUAACCUACCUAUAAGACUGGGAUAACUUCGGGAAACCGGAGCUAAUACCGGAUAAUAUAUUGAACCGCAUGGUUCAAUAGUGAAAGACGGUUUUGCUGUCACUUAUAGAUGGAUCCGCGCCGCAUUAGCUAGUUGGUAAGGUAACGGCUUACCAAGGCAACGAUGCGUUGCCGACCUGAGAGGGGGAUCGGCCCCAUUGGAACUGAGCCGCGGUCCAGGCUCCUACGGGAGGCAGCAGUAGGGAAUCUUCCGCAAUGGGCGAAAGCUUGACGGAGCAACGCCGCGUGAGUUAUGAAGGUCUUCCGAUCGGAAAACCCUGUUAUUAGGGAAGAACAAAUUUGUAAGUUACCAUGCACGUCUUGACGGUACCUAAUCAGAAAGCCACGGCUAACUACGUG
rnacentral:rRNA from 1 species